ACAAUGUCGUAUAUGUUUUAUGGGUUAAAAGUCGUCCAAGAUAUUUCCUUUGUUCUCUUAGUGUCUUUUGUGGAAUCAUGCCGUUCGUCACCGACAUUGAAGGUAUUUGUUUUUUUUAUUUCAACGAUCAUUGUGGUUUGUGAUGGACUGUGGUAGCAUGCUGAAAAUUGCUUCUCGUUCAUGUAAUUCACGAUUUUGUUGGACUGUGAUAGAUCUUGCCUCGUGUAAAGAGAAUUAUACCUAUCCAGAUUUUACAUCUAGUUGGUGAGCCUGAAAUUAAGAGGCUUCAUGAAAAGUUUGAAAUGGCUAUUGAUUACUGAAAAUCUGUUUAUAAGAAGGCUGAUGUCGGAUUCGAAAAUGGGGUUAACGCAAAGACUUUGUACGAAUUGCCGGCUGGAACAGGUCACUGUAACAUAUGUAAAAGAAGUGACUUAUUAUUCCGAGGAACUUAACUUUUAGCCGAUGCCAUGAAGACUUAAGUGGUCGCCAUGACAAUAUAAGAGAAGCUGCUACAGGGUAACACUGCAAAGAAUUCAGGCUUCCUCUUCAUCCAUUUGUUUCAUUAAAAGCUAAUUGAUUGCACAGUCAUGACAAAUCUGAUAAGAAUUCUGAGCUGUAAACAUGUCACCAAUGCAGAUCUGCCCUUGGAGCAUAGCUGGCAUUCUGUGCAUCGACCCACUAGAGAUAAAUUGAGCACUUAUCAAGUGGUUCUUUCAGUGGACUGGGUGCAGGAAUGUUCAGGUUUUCUUCAGGGGUGACAAUUUCCCGUUUUCUUUAAGGAAGUGGUCAGUUUUCAUUCUUGUUUAAUAAGUUUACACUCAAACGAUAUUCUGUGCAAAACUAACCGUACUUUAUGCAUAAAGCUUUCAAUCUUCUACAAUAAAAGACUAACGAA